AUUCAGGCAUUUUGAAUGAAAAUUGAGUUUGACUGAAGAAAAUCAUGUCCUUCCAAAUGAAAAUGAGCAGAUGUACAAAAAGAGCCUUAAAAUUAAUCUUGGAUUUACCCUUCCUUGUAAGGCAUGUGAUAAUGUGAAUGCAUCAUUUCACCGGUGUAUUGAAACUGACAAGGGCGGAGGGGAAGCUGCUGCAGAUUUAGUUUUUAAAAAAAUUACAUAAUUUGGGGGUUUCCGGAGAACAACUGUAUUGAGACGAAAUUGCCUUUCUGCUUAGAAGUCUGGCAAGAAGACACUCUUUUAAAAAUCAUUUUACCUUUGACUUGUUGUGAGAUCAUUUUUAAAACUGGGAGAAAUCUUUGAAUUGAACAUGUGUCGUAUCUCCCGGCCUGUUCUCUAACUGAAUGCUGUCUAUUAUUUUAAUCAUGUUAAUCUACUACUUAGUGGAAAACGCUGCUCUGUGGCCACCCCAGAACAAAAGUGCUUUCUGUUCUUCCUUCUUCAGUGAACCGGCCUUCACAUCACCCAGAGUCCAGCAAACAUUCAGGGGUU
rnacentral:lncRNA from 1 species